CCUACGGGAGGCAGCAGUGUGGAAUAUUGGUCAAUGGACGAGAGUCUGAACCAGCCAAGUAGCGUGAAGGAUGAAUGCCCUAUGGGUUGUAAACUUCUUUUAUAAAGGAAUAAAACGAGGCACGUGUGCCUGUUUGCAUGUACUUUAUGAAUAAGGAUCGGCUAACUCCGUGCCAGCAGCCGCGGUAAUACGGAGGAUCCGAGCGUUAUCCGGAUUUAUUGGGUUUAAAGGGAGCGUAGAUGGGUUGUUAAGUCAGUUGUGAAAGUUUGCGGCUCAACCGUAAAAGUGCAAUUGAUACUGGCAGUCUUGAGUACAGUUGAGGUAAGCGGAAUUCGUGGUGUAGCGGUGAAAUGCUUAGAUAUCACGAAGAACCCCGAUUGCGAAGGCAGCUUACUAAACUGUGACUGACAUUGAUGCUCGAAAGUGUGGGUAUCAAACAGGAUUAGAUACCCCGGUAGUC
rnacentral:rRNA from 1 species